rnacentral:rRNA from 1 species
GGUAUUGAAAUAAGAUUUUAAAUGAGUGCUAAGAGAAUGAUUAAACAAUUAAAAACUUUCUUUAAUUAAAUAAUUAAAUUUAAUUUUUUUGGUGCAAAAGCAAAAAUAAAAUUUAGGGACAAGAAGACCCUAUGAAUUUUUAUUAUUAAUAUUUUGCAAUUAAAUUAUUAAUAAUUUAAUUGGGGUGAUAAAAAAAGAAUAAGUAUCUUUUUAAUUGUAAAAUAAGUUCCGUUUUUAGCGAUUAAAUGAAAAAAAUACUCUAGGGAUAACAGCGUAAUAAUUUUGGAUAGUUCAUAUAGAUAAAAUAGUUUGCGACCUCGAUGUUGGAUUAGGAUUCUUUUUUGGUGAAGAA